CCUACGGGAGGCAGCAGUGGGGAAUAUUGGGCAAUGGGCGCAAGCCUGACCCAGCAACGCCGCGUGAAGGAAGAAGGCUUUCGGGUUGUAAACUUCUUUUGUCAGGGACGAAGCAAGUGACGGUACCUGACGAAUAAGCCACGGCGAACUACGUGCCAGCAGCCGCGCGAAUACGUAGGUGGCAAGCGUUAUCCGGAUUUACUGGGUGUAAGGGUCGUGUAGGCGGGACUGCAAGUCAGAUGUGAAAACCACGGGCUCAACCUGUGGCCUGCAUUUGAAACUGUAGUUCUUGAGUACUGGAGAGGCAGACGGAAUUCGUAGUGUAGCGGUGAAAUGCGUAGAUAUUAGGAGGAACACCAGUGGCGAAGGCGGUAUGCUGGACAGAAACUGACGCUGAGGCGCGAAAGCGUGGGGAGCAAACAGGAUUAGAUACCCUAGUAGUC
rnacentral:rRNA from 1 species